CCUACGGGAGGCAGCAGUAGGGAAUAUUGCUCAAUGGGGGAAACCCUGAAGCAGCAACGCCGCGUGGAGGAUGAAGUUUUUCGGAUUGUAAACUUCUUUUGUUAGAGAAGAUAAUGACGGUAUCUAACGAAUAAGCACCGGCUAACUCCGUGCCAGCAGCCGCGGUAAUACGGAGGGUGCAAGCGUUACUCGGAUUCACUGGGCGUAAAGAGCGCGUAGGCGGGAUAGCAAGUCAGAUGUGAAAUCCUAUGGCUUAACCAUAGAACUGCAUUUGAAACUGUUAUUCUAGAGUAUGGGAGAGGUAGGUGGAAUUCUUGGUGUAGGGGUGAAAUGCGUAGAGAUCAAGAGGAAUACUGAUUGCGAAGGCGACCUGCUAGAACAUAACUGACGCUUAUGCGCGAAAGCGUGGGGAGCAAACAGGAUUAGAUACCCCUGUAGUC
rnacentral:rRNA from 1 species